ACAUGCACUCAUGCAACAGCGACGUUUGUUAGGUGGUGGCUCAAGCCAGUGGAUGGUCAGUUUGAUUAUGUUCUGUCAGUUGUAUCUACAGGCAGCACUUGCUUGUUUUCCCCUGCCACUUUACCGGAAGUGUUUGCUGGGUGUGAUUGUGCAGGAUCCACAUUAACUUGUACCCUGAAGUCCGUAUCACAGAACAAUAAUGGAGGCAAAUGGAAGUGCUCUAUAAGUCAAAAUCAGCAAUCUGUUUUCAGUCAUGAAAUAACAAUUAUUGUGGCAGUGCCUGUGGUCAAUGUUACGUUGACCCCAGACCUACCAGCGAUUUCUGUCUUACAAAACGUACCAAUCAGCUUCAUCAAAUGUGAAUCAUCAGAGGGCCGUCCUACCCCAAUCAUUACUUGGUAUAUGGACAACGAUACCCCGUCGGAUUACAACGAUGAUGUAAAUAUCACUAAAAAAAGCAUUAGUCUUGUAGCAGGAGACCGGACGACAAGCACUCUGACAAUUACUCCUUCAAUGGAACAUCAUGGGACAAUCAUAUACUGCAAAGUCUCAAAUGGGUACGGGUCGAUCUUAUCCGUCAGGAAACCCCGUAUUAACGUGUUGGUCGCCCCAUCCACACCAAAAGUUCUAUACAAGAAUGUGAUUGUUGACAUCAUUACUGUGAUACAAAAUAGCUCUGUAUCGCUGGAAUGCACCUCUUCUGGGAAUCCAACGCCUAACAUAUCAUGGAAAUUAACUAAUGGCUCUGUUAUUAAUAACGGAGCUAUUGAACUGAAAUUUAUGCAAAGUGUGAAUGCAGUUACGCUCACCUGCACGGCCACAAGUGCCAUGCAGCCAACGAACGGAAGUACAACAAAA